AUGGGGUUAAUCUCUCAUAUCAUAUAUUUUCCACAUUCAAUAAAAAAAAGUAGUAGUUCUAAAGUAGAAUUACGAGAAUAUGAGUUGGAGAGAAAUUAUAAGUAGUAGUUCUAAAGUAGAAAUUAUAAGUAGUUUUUUUUUUUUUUCUUCGUUCGUAACUAAAAGUAGUUUUUCUAUAAUCUGGUUUUUUUUUUAAAACUUAUUUUGGACAAGAAAGAACAGAUGGUAAUUGGUAAAAAAGAUUGGGUAGUCAUCUCAAUUAGUUACCAGAUAGUAAAUGGGAAAGCGGGUCCUGG
rnacentral:lncRNA from 1 species